ACUCCUACGGGAGGCAGCAGUGAGGAAUUUUGCGCAAUGGGGGAAACCCUGACGCAGCAACGCCGCGUGAGUGAUGAAGGCUUUCGGGUCGUAAAGCUCUGUCAAGUGGGAAGAACAUGCUUGAUGCUAAUACCAUCUUGCACUGACGGUACCACUGGAGGAAGCACCGGCUAACUCCGUGCCAGCAGCCGCGGUAAUACGGAGGGUGCAAGCGUUGUUCGGAAUUACUGGGCGUAAAGGGCGUGCAGGCGGGUUGGUAAGUCAGAUGUGAAAGCCCUGGGCUCAACCCAGGAAGUGCAUUUGAAACUGCCAUCCUUGAGUAUGGGAGAGGAAAGUGGAAUUCCCAGUGUAGAGGUGAAAUUCGUAGAUAUUGGGAGGAACACCCGUGGCGAAGGCGACUCUCUGGACCAAUACUGACGCUGAGACGCGAAAGCGUGGGGAGCAAACAGGAUUAGAUACCCUGGUAGUCCACGCUGUAAACGAUGAUAACUAGGUGUAGCGGGUAUUGACCCCUGCUGUGCCGAAGUUAACGCAUUAAGUUCUCCGCCUGGGGAGUACGGCCGCAAGGCUAAAACUCAAAUGAAUUGACGG
rnacentral:rRNA from 1 species